GCUGCGCAGAUCGAGGUUGCUCGCGCUCUGAACGCAGAGCCGCAUUCCAGUCGCGCCACGGAACGGGAUAUUUUGGCGAGUUUGGGAAUUUAACUAUGACUAGGGCAUGCCAUCCAAGGAUCAUUCCAACGUGAGCCCCGGACAAGGAAUUGAGGUGAAUGCUGAAGUGGAUGACUGUUUUGUGGGAAGGCAAGGAAGCGUUGAAU